rnacentral:rRNA from 1 species
GACGAACCGUGCGAACGUUGUUCGGAAUCACUGGGCUUAAAGGGCGCGUAGGCGGGAUUGCAAGUCUGUGGUGAAAUCUGUCGGCUCAACCGACAAACGGCCGUGGAUACUGCGAUUCUCGAGGGGUGUAGGGCAUGCGGAACUUCCGGUGGAGCGGUGAAAUGCGUAGAUAUCGGAAGGAACGCCGGUGGCGAAAGCGGCGUGCUGGACACCUACUGACGUGAGGCGCGAAAGCCAGGGGAGCGAACGGG